rnacentral:lncRNA from 1 species
UUGCCCCUAGUCAAUAGGGUCCUUAGAUUACUUGCCCCAUCUUGGGUCUUCACAAAUGAUCAAAUUCCUCAUCGAUUAUUCAUUGUUGGAAUUUGAUCAAAAACAAUGAUUUCUGGAGUUUGAUUUUGAGUUGUCUCGAGGAAGAAGAUGACCGUUGGCGCGCGUAUUCAAAUUCAAAAAUAUUAUGUGUCGUGUUCUGAUUGGUUGGCUAGUG